rnacentral:rRNA from 1 species
AGUCGAACGGUCGUAGUAAUACGAUAGUGGCGCACGGGUGCGUAACACGUGUGCAACCUACCUUAUAGAGGGGGAUAGCCUUUGGAAACGGAGAUUAAUACCCCAUAAUACAUUUGAUAGGCAUCUAUUUAAUGUUAAAGAUUUAUCACUAUUAGCUGGGCAUGCUUCCAAUUGGUCAGUUGGCAGGGUAAUGACUCACCAAGACUUUGAUUGGUAGGGUAACUGUUGGGUUAAUCCCCCACACUGGCCCUGACAUACGGUUGUAACUCCUACGGGAGGCAGCGGUAGGGAAUAUUGAGCAAUGGAGGCCACUCUGACCCUCCCCUGCCGCGUGCAGGAUGAACGUGUUAUGCGUUGUAAACUGCUUUUAUAUAGGAAGAAAGAGUUCUUGCAACAACAGUUGACGGUACUAUAUGAAUAAUCACCGGCUAACUCCGUGCCAGCAGCCGCGGUAAUACGGAGGGUGCAAGCGUUGUCCGGAUUUAUUGGGUUUCAAGGGUGCGUAGGCGGUUUAUUAAGUCAGUGGUGAGAGACGGUCGCUCAACGAUUGCAGUGCCAUUGAUACUGGUAGACUUGAGUGAGAUUGAGGUAGCUGGAAUGGAUAGUGUAGCGGUGAAAUGCAUAGAUAUUAUCCAGAACACCAAUUGCGUAGGCAAGUUACUAAGUCUCAACUGACGCUGAGGCACGAAAUGUGGGUAUCAAACAGGAUUAGAUACCCUGGUAGUCCACACUGUAAACGAUGAUAACUAACUGUUGGCUUUCGGGUCAGUGGUACAGAGAAAUCGUUAAGUUAUCCACCUGGGGAGUACGCCGGCAACGGUGAAACUCAAAUGAAUUGACGGUGGUCCGCACAAGCGGUGGAGCAGGUGGUGUAAUUCGAUGAUACGCGAGGAACCUUACCUAGGCUAGAAUGUGAUUGAACGUAUCAGAAAUGGUACAGUCUGCAAGCACUUGAAACAAGGUGCUGCAUGCCUGUCGUCAGCUCCUGCCGUGAGGUGGAGGGUUAAGUCCCGCACAGAGCGCAACCCCUGUUGUUAGUUGACGUCAGGUAAUGCUGGGACAUCUCCCAAGAGGGCGUACGCAAGUAGAGAUGAAGGAGGGGUCGAAGUCAAGUCAUCACGUUCCUUACCCAUAGGGCAACACACAUGCUACAACGGGCGGUACAGAGAGAUGUUAAGCGGUAACACAAUGCUAAUCUUGAAAGCCGUUCUCAGUUCGGAUUGGGGUCCGCAACUCGUCCCUAUGAAGCAGGAAUCUGUAGUAAUCGCAUAUCAGCUAUGAUGCGGUGAAUACGUUCCCGGACCUUGUACACACCGCCCAUCAAGCCAUGAAAGUGCUGGUAGACCUAAAGCUGGU